UUGGAAUGUUUUUAGGUUAUGUUUUUAGUCCCCCAAAGCCUUUCUUAAACUUCCCCAGCGAUCGGGCCUUCAAACGUUUAAAUUGUAGUGAGUAUCGUAUUCAACCCCCCCUUCUACGAUACUUUGGACCUAACAAGUGUUUAGGUUGCCGUUUUUUUUCAAUGAAAGCUAUGAAUCUCCUCUUCGUUCUCCUCCAAAAAAACCUACACAACAUCACACUAAAACAUAUCAAAAACAUCAAAAGCUUGAGGCCAGAUCAUCCAUUUAAGUCAAAUCGAAGGCUUCCAAGUGGAUAUAAAAUCCACUUAUCACACCCCCAAACUUAAACCGAUGCUUGUCCUCAAGCAUAGACACACACACCAAUACUAAUAACGUAAUGCAUGAAUGCAACUAAAUGCCUACAUCUAACGAAUCAUGAAGUGUAAUCCUGGUUAACAUAGCAUCCUCAAAAUAUGCAACAUUCUCGGCAUUCAUCUCUUUCACAUAUUAGCCAUGUUCUCUUCCACUACAAGUGUGAAGUGCAUCGUGUGUGCUAGCAUGCUCUCUAGUGAAACAAAACAAAGACUAUCAAACUUCCACAAAAUCCUCACUAUGAGCCGUUGAUAAGAAUCCGGUUUAAACACUUCUUUACUACCGAGUCAACUACAGUUCAGGAUCUCCAAAGAAUUCCUAUGCCUCUCCUAUUUUUUUCCUAUUUUUUUUCUUGCUAAAUCUAAGGUUGGGACGCUUCUCAGUGUAAGUGAGUCACGACCGCCAUUCGACUUCGCUUUUCUCUUCUUUUUUUUUUUUUUUUUUUUUUUUUUUUAAUCAAGUAAUUCUCCAGUAAUCAAAGGUUGUGAAAGGUCACCAAGAAUUUGCUUAUUCUAAUACAUUUGCACUUAAUACCAGCACAAGUACAUGGAUCGUCCCUUUCACAUGACAUUGCAUUUUACACAUUGAUCUCAAUGGAGUACUUGAUAUAUUUUUUUCUCUCUUUUUUUUUUCCUUUUUUUUUUUAGAAAGGCAUAUUCAUCCCUCAACUCCCCCAAACUUAAGAUUUACAAACUCUAAGUUCAAAAAGGGAAUAAUCCACACGCUACGCUCGACUCAACGCAAGGACUCAAGAAAUAAGUUAGUCUAAGUCUUAUCUCUAGAGCAUAAGUGUAAUUACAAUUUCCACACAAGCAGUUUUCAAGUAACAAGGCAUCACAUAUAAUCAAGGUUACUAUCCAAGAAAUUAUGCACAUAAGCUCAUCAUAGGAAAUCAACUUGGAAAACAACUUCAAGAUUCAUGCAAAUGCAACUAUAUGAAACUACUAACACAUACUAACACAAGCAUAAAUGAACUAAUAUGCAACUAUAUGAGAUAAUAUUCUAAACUAUAUGCCACAUGCAACCUAUAUGCACACACUAUAUACUAUAUACUAGUCCUUAGAUUACCACCCCCAAACUUAAAAUCUUCAAUGUCCUCAUUGAAGGUGAUAAAAAGGAUCGAAUGUACCUAUAAGGAGUCAGAACGAUCACUCUCCUCACCCGCCUCGGGUGAAGAGUCAGCUGGAGGAUACAUCAUAUCUGCACCGAACACAGGCCACUCAACGUCUACGCCCGUAGCACGAAAAGCAGUCCCCAACGCCUGUGUCAAAUCCCUCGCAAAACGGCUAUGCAUAUCAUGCAUAGUAUCCAUACGCCUCGCGAGCCGCCUAAACUGUGAAUCACUGAAACCACGGCGCCCCGUACCAGAGCUCUCCACGGGCUCAGAAGGCCCCGCAAUCUCUCGAACUGGUGAAACUGGAGGUGGUGCUCUCAUCCGUCUACCAUCAGCAUCUCUAUAACCCAAUCCUCGAAGGCUGGCGUGACCACCCGGCCACUCAGGUAGCCGCUCUAUAAGAGCAUGAUCAAUAGCGGCCCCCGGCAUCUGCAACUGCUCAUCUGCUGACCAACGAACACCCACUGCAGUACAUAACUUGGUCACUAUCGUCGCGUGAGGUAUAGCCACUCCAGUGCGACUCCUCAAAAAUCUCAUAAUGUUCUGGUGGAUGACGUAUGCAAUAUCGACAUACUUCCCACUCAGAAUCCCAAACAACAAUAUAGCCCGAUCGACCGUGACAUCGUGGUGGUGUCCCGAUGGCAUAAUACUAUGGCAAAUAAACAGGUUCCAAGCUCGAGCAAACCUGUUCAUAGUAGAGGCAGGGAAAGAGACUCUCACAUUAGUCGACGGAUUACGCUUCCACGUAGUACCCGGAAUGCAUAACUCAUAAACAAUUUGAUCUAAAUCAAUGUUCCUCUUGUCCUUUCUCACCCAAUCAUCCUGAGUGGACUCCAUCUCCGUUCCCCCAAUAAGCGCUUGGAUUGUCUCCAAGGUAUAAUCCACAGUCAACCCCCUAACAACCGAAUACCCGUUUUGAUCCGCUCGGGCAUUAGCAUAAAACUCCCGCACAAUACUCCCCGGCAGCGGCGUCAAAAACUUGUUCGCACAAAAUCACGCAAGCGUACGUGGUCACAAGUAAUAUAGAAUAUAAUUCAAGUUCGUUCCCACAGAGACUGGUGUAUUCAGAAUUAUGCACUUAUGCACCAAUGUAUGAUUAUUAUUCAAUGCUUGGACAAGUAAUCAAAUUGGGUUUUGGUUUUAUACUUAACUAAUCCUAUUCGAAUUAUGAAACUAAGAAUUAUCAACUAAGAGAAUAACGAUUUACUAAUGAGAAUAAAACAUGGGAUUCUAGCUUCAUUAACAACUUCAUUCAGAGUUCUACCUUAUUCGAUUGUAAUGGUUGAUAACUAAUCAGAUAACACGAGACUGAUACACGCUAACUGUCGUUAUACGUGCACCAUACUGCUACACAUCCACAAUUAAGAUAGAAGGUAGACAGACACCAAUUAUGCUUAGACCCUAUAUGUCUAUAGAAUUUGAAAACAUAACGGUUGAAGAGCAAGUUAUCUAUCAAGAUUACAUAGGGCGAUGCAAGAUGGGUAAAAUCACAUCACAAGUCAUGUUAUCGAACACGAAACCUAUGCUCGCAUGGCAAGUUCUAAAUCAAUAUAUUCACUGUCGCUUCAAUAAAGAUUAACAAGCAAUCUUAGAUGUUAGCUACGCAUCCAAGACGAAUAAGCACAACCAAUACGAGGAAAUCAAACCAUCACAUAUGAACAAGGCAAAUUAACUACUGAAAUUCAUCGAUAAAUCCGCUAAAAUCCCAUGACAAUGAUUAGUUCAUAAUCGAACUUCUCAUCAUCAUGGGUUCGAAUGUAAACAUGGUACUGAAUAGGAAAAACAAAAUCAAAGUAUGAGAAUAAGAGUUAAGAAACAAAUCCGAAACGAGCAUCCAAAGUUACGCCUACUUCGAAGAAUUACAAAAGUAAAAGCUAUGAAAUUCGAUCUUUAUCUUCUCCGUAGCCGUCACGUGCUCCUUGGAAUGUUUUUAGGUUAUGUUUUUAGUCCCCCAAAGCCUUUCUUAAACUUCCCCAGCGAUCGGGCCUUCAAACGGAUCAGAAACAGGCAAACGGGCUUAAAUUCGCUGCCAGUUUGGUGCGGGUGCGCCAGAUUUGGGGCGGGUGCGCCAACGGGGCAGGUGCGCCAGAUUUGGGGCGGGUGCCCCAAUUCAGCAGCCCACUUCUUUGUCCAUAACUUUUGACUCGCUCAUCCGAUUGCUUCGCCGUUUUUUUUCAAUGAAAGCUAUGAAUCUCCUCUUCGUUCUCCUCCAAAAAAACCUACACAACAUCAC
rnacentral:lncRNA from 1 species